rnacentral:rRNA from 1 species
AAUAGAUACCCAGGUAGUCCACGCCGUAAACGAUGAGUGCUAAGUGUUAGAGGGUUUCCGCCCUUUAGUGCUGCAGCUAACGCAUUAAGCACUCCGCCUGGGGAGUACGGCCGCAAGGCUGAAAACUCAAAGGAAUUGACGGGGGCCCGCACAAGCGGUGGAGCAUGUGGUUUAACUCGAAGCAACGCGAAGAACCUUACCAGGUCUUGACAUCCUCUGACAACCCUAGAGAUAGGGGCUUUCCCCUUCGGGGGACAGAGUGACAGGUGGUGCAUGGUUGUCGUCAGCUCGUGUCGUGAGAUGUUGGGUUAAGUCCCGCAACGAGCGCAACCCUUGAUCUUAGUUGCCAGCAUUCAGUUGGGCACUCUAAGGUGACUGCCGGUGACAAACCGGAGGAAGGUGGGGAUGACGUCAAAUCAUCAUGCCCCUUAUGACCUGGGCUACACACGUGCUACAAUGGAUGGUACAAAGGGCUGCAAACCUGCGAAGGUAAGCGAAUCCCAUAAAGCCAUUCUCAGUUCGGAUUGCAGG